UACGGAGGGUGCAAACGUUGCUCGGAAUCACUGGGCGUAAAGAGCUCGUAGGCGGUUUGUCAAGUCAGAUGUGAAAUCCCCGGGCUUAACCUGGGAAGUGCAUUUGAAACUGGCGAGCUAGAGGUUGGGAGGGGGUAGCGGAAUUCCCGGUGUAGAGGUGAAAUUCGUAGAUAUCGGGAGGAACACCAGAGGCGAAGGCGGCUACCUGGACCAAUACUGACGCUGAGGAGCGAAAGCGUGGGGAGCAAACAGG
rnacentral:rRNA from 1 species